rnacentral:tRNA from 5 species
GCGGGAAUAGCUCAGUGGUAGAGCACAACCUUGCCAAGGUUGGGGCCGCGGGUUCGACCCCCGUUUCCCGCUCCA